rnacentral:rRNA from 1 species
AUUGAACGCUAGCGGGAUGCUUUACACAUGCAAGUCGAACGGUAGCACGAAGAAAGCUUGCUUUCUUUGGUGACGAGUGGCGAACGGGUGAGUAAUGUAUCGGAACGUACCCAGUAGCGGGGGAUAACUACGCGAAAGCGUGGCUAAUACCGCAUACGCCCUACGGGGGAAAGGGGGGGGAUCGCAAGACCUCUCACUAUUGGAGCGGCCGAUAUCGGAUUAGCUAGUUGGUGGGGUAAAGGCCCACCAAGGCGACGAUCCGUAGCUGGUUUGAGAGGACGACCAGCCACACUGGGACUGAGACACGGCCCAGACUCCUACGGGAGGCAGCAGUGGGGAAUUUUGGACAAUGGGGGCAACCCUGAUCCAGCCAUCCCGCGUGUGCGAUGAAGGCCUUCGGGUUGUAAAGCACUUUUGGCAGAGAAGAAACGACUCUGGAUAAUACCCGGGGUCAAUGACGGUAUCUGCAGAAUAAGCACCGGCUAACUACGUGCCAGCAGCCGCCGCAG